rnacentral:tRNA from 1 species
GCAGGGUUAGUACAUUGGUAGUGCAUCGGCUUCCCAAGCCGAGAAGGCGGGUUCGAUUCCCGUACCCUGCUCCA